rnacentral:tRNA from 1 species
GGCAAGAUGGCCGAGCGGUCUAAGGCGCUGUGUUCAGGUUUCUGUUAACUCAAGAAGCUUCGCAGUGGAGCAAUCCGCGCGAGUUCGAAUCUCGUUCUUGUCA